CCUACGGGGGGCAGCAGUGAGGAAUAUUGGUCAAUGGACGAGAGUCUGAACCAGCCAAGUAGCGUGAAGGAUGACUGCCCUAUGGGUUGUAAACUUCUUUUAUAUGGGAAUAAAAUGUUCCACGUGUGGGAUUUUGUAUGUACCAUAUGAAUAAGGAUCGGCUAACUCCGGGCCAGCAGCCGCGGUAAUACGGAGGGUCCGGGCGUUAUCCGGGUUUUUUGGGUUUAAAGGGAGCGUAGGUGGGUUGUUAAGUCAGUUGUGAAAGUUUGCGGCUCAACCGUAAAAUUGCAGUUGAAACUGGCAGUCUUGAGUACAGUAGAGGUGGGCGGAAUGCGUGGUGUAGCGGUGAAAUGCUUAGAUAUCACGAAGAACUCCGAUUGCGAAGGCAGCUCACUGGACUGCAACUGACACUGAGGCUCGAAAGUGUGGGUAUCAAACAGGAUUAGAUACCUGAGUAGUC
rnacentral:rRNA from 1 species